UGUUAUUACAAGUUGCCGUAAUAGGGUGAUCGCUAGUCGUACGCUUCUUUUUCCACCGGAAGCUUGCUCCACCGGAAAAAGAAGAGUGGCGAACGGGUGAGUAACACGUGGGUAACCUGCCCAUCAGAAGGGGAUAACACUUGGAAACAGGUGCUAAUACCGUAUAACAAUCGAAACCGCAUGGUUUUGAUUUGAAAGGCGCUUUCGGGUGUCGCUGAUGGAUGGACCCGCGGUGCAUUAGCUAGUUGGUGAGGUAACGGCUCACCAAGGCUACGAUGCAUAGCCGACCUGAGAGGGUGAUCGGCCACAUUGGGACUGAGACACGGCCCAAACUCCUACGGGAGGCAGCAGUAGGGAAUCUUCGGCAAUGGACGAAAGUCUGACCGAGCAACGCCGCGUGAGUGAAGAAGGUUUUCGGAUCGUAAAACUCUGUUGUUAGAGAAGAACAAGGAUGAGAGUAACUGUUCAUCCCUUGACGGUAUCUAACCAGAAAGCCACGGCUAACUACGUGCCAGCAGCCGCGGUAAUACGUAGGUGGCAAGCGUUGUCCGGAUUUAUUGGGCGUAAAGCGAGCGCAGGCGGUUUCUUAAGUCUGAUGUGAAAGCCCCCGGCUCAACCGGGGAGGGUCAUUGGAAACUGGGAGACUUGAGUGCAGAAGAGGAGAGUGGAAUUCCAUGUGUAGCGGUGAAAUGCGUAGAUAUAUGGAGGAACACCAGUGGCGAAGGCGGCUCUCUGGUCUGUAACUGACGCUGAGGCUCGAAAGCGUGGGGAGCAAACAGGAUUAGAUACCCUGGUAGUCCACGCCGUAAACGAUGAGUGCUAAGUGUUGGAGGGUUUCCGCCCUUCAGUGCUGCAGCUAACGCAUUAAGCACUCCGCCUGGGGAGUACGACCGCAAGGUUGAAACUCAAAGGAAUUGACGGGGGCCCGCACAAGCGGUGGAGCAUGUGGUUUAAUUCGAAGCAACGCGAAGAACCUUACCAGGUCUUGACAUCCUUUGACCACUCUAGAGAUAGAGCUUCCCCUUCGGGGGCAAAGUGACAGGUGGUGCAUGGUUGUCGUCAGCUCGUGUCGUGAGAUGUUGGGUUAAGUCCCGCAACGAGCGCAACCCUUAUUGUUAGUUGCCAUCAUUCAGUUGGGCACUCUAGCAAGACUGCCGGUGACAAACCGGAGGAAGGUGGGGAUGACGUCAAAUCAUCAUGCCCCUUAUGACCUGGGCUACACACGUGCUACAAUGGGAAGUACAACGAGUCGCGAAGUCGCGAGGCUAAGCUAAUCUCUUAAAGCUUCUCUCAGUUCGGAUUGUAGGCUGCAACUCGCCUACAUGAAGCCGGAAUCGCUAGUAAUCGCGGAUCAGCACGCCGCGGUGAAUACGUUCCCGGGCCUUGUACACACCGCCCGUCACACCACGAGAGUUUGUAACACCCGAAUGUACGUGUGUUAGUAUGAGUCAACUGCGUCUCGAUCCUACAGCGCUAUCUUUAGAAGUUAGCCUGUC
rnacentral:rRNA from 1 species